rnacentral:rRNA from 1 species
GACGAACGCUGGCGGCGUGCUUAAUACAUGCAAGUCGACUGAACUUAAGGUAGCAAUAUUUUAAGGGAGGUGGCGCACGGGUGAGUAACACGUAGGUAAUCUGCCUUUAGGACUGACAUAACCCAGAGAAAUCUGGGCUAAUAUCAGAUGAUGCAGCGGCUCGACAUCGAGACAGUUGUUAAACCUUCGGGGCCUAGAGAUGAGCCUGCGUCUGAUUAGGUAGUUGGCGGAGUAAAAGCCCACCAAGCCUGCGAUCAGUAGCUGGUCUGAGAGGAUGAUCAGCCACACUGGAACUGAGACACGGUCCAGACUCCUACGGGAGGCAGCAGUAAGGAAUAUUGGACAAUGGGCGGAAGCCUGAUCCAGCCAUGCCGCGUGCAGGAUGACGGCCCUCUGGGUUGUAAACUGCUUUAGAUCGGGAAGAAAGUUAUAUAUGUAUAUGUAAUUGACGGUACCGGUAGAAUAAGCA